rnacentral:rRNA from 1 species
GGUUUGAUUGCGGCUCAGAUUGAACGCUGGCGGAUGUUUACACAUGCAAGUCGAACGGCAGCACGGACUUCGGUCUGGUGGCGAGUGGCGAACGGGUGAGUAAUGUAUCGGAACGUGCCUAGUAGCGGGGGAUAACUAGCGCAAAGCGUAGCUAAUACCGCAUACCCUUCGGGGGAAAGCGGGGGACCUUUCUCGGGCCUCGCACUAUUAGAGCGGCCGUGAUAUCGGAUUAGCUAGUUGGUGGGGUAACGGCUCACCAUGCGACGAUCCGUAGCUGGUUUGAGAGGACGACCAGCCACACUGGGACUGAGACACGGCCCAGACUCCUACGGGAGGCAGCAGUGGGGAAUUUUGACAAUGGGGGAAACCCUGAUCCAGCCAUCCUGGGCGUGUGCGAUGAAGGCCUUCGGGUUGUAAAAGCACUUUUGGCAGGAAGAAACGGCACGGAUAAUACCCGUGCAACUGACGGUACCUGCAGAAUAAGCACCGGUUAACUACGUGCCAGCAGCCGCGGUAAUGGCCGUAGGGUGCAAGCGUUAAUCGGAAUUACUGGGCGUAAAGUUGCGCAGGCGGUUCGGAAGAAGAUGAAACCCAGGAGCUGAACUUUGAACCGCAUUUUUUAAUCACCGUUUGAAAGCUGAGGUGGAGGUGAAUCUAUGUGCAUCGCGAUACAGCGGAGGAAUCAACCGAUGCGAGCACCUCCUGAUAACCAUCGACGCCCAUGCAUCCAAAGUGGAGAGCAAACAGGAUUAGAUACCUCCGGUAGUCCACGCCCUAAACGAUGUCAACUAGCUGUUGGGGCCUUCGGGCUCGGUAGCGCAGCUAACGCGUGAAGUUGACCGCCUGGGGAGUACGGUCGCAAGAUUAAAACUCAAAGGAAUUGACGGGGACUCGCACAAGCGGUGGAUGAUGUGGAUUAAUUCGAUGAACGCGAAAAACCUACCUUACCUUUGACAUGUCUGGAAUCCCGGAAGAGAUUUGGGAGUGCUCGCAAGAGAAACCGGAACACAGGUGCUGCAUGGCUGUCGUCAGCCUGUGUCGUGAGAUGUUGGGUUAAGUCCCGCAACGAGCGCAACCCUUGUCAUUAGUUGCCACAGCAGCACCCCCACGAGACUGCUUCUCGGUGACAAACCGGAGGAAGGUGGGGGAUGACGUCAAGUCCUCAUGGCCCUUGCGGUAGGGGCUUCACACGUCAUACAAUGGUCGGGACAGUGGUCGCCAACCCGCGAGGGGGAGCCAAUCCCAGAAACCCGAUCGUAGGUCCGAUCGCAGUCUGCAACUCGACUGCGUGAAGUCGGAAUCGCUAGUAAUCGCGGAUCAGCAUGUCGCGGUGAAUACGUUCCCGGGUCUUGUACACACCGCCUGUCACACCAUGGGAGUGGGUUUUACCAGAAGUAGUUAGCCUAACCGUAAGGAGGGCGAUUACCACGGUAGGAUUCAUGACUGGGGUGAAGUCGUACGCCGGCACC